AAAUAGGUCUCUAUUCUUUUUAUCUGAAAAUGUAUGUAUGGAGUAGGGAUGUUAAUAGGUAUGGAUGUCCGAAAUUUUAUCCGAAUCUGAAUCCGAAUGAAACGGAUAUAUCUGAUGCUAAAUGGAUAUGGAUUCGGAUAUGAAUAUCAAAAAUAAAAAUCCGACGAAUAUUAAUUCAGAUAUGGAUUUUGACGGUACCCGAUCCGAACCCGAACCCGACCCAAACCCGAAUUUAUUUUGUAUUAUAUAUAAUAUAUAUAUAAAAAUUUGAUGUUAUAUUUGAAUUUGUAUUUUAAAAAUUUAGAUUUAACAUAAUAUAUUUUGAAAUAUUGGAAAAAAAAUAAUUGUUUUGGGUUCGGGUUUCGAAUUUUUGGUCGGGUUCGGAUUUGGAUAUGGAUUUUUAAAAUCCGUCGGGUUUCGGUUUGAGUCUCGGGUCUCAGGUUUGGAGUCGGAUUCGGUCCGAAUUUUGAAAAUUCGUCUCGAAUUCGAUCAGUUGACAUCUCUAGUAUGGAGCGUAUCUGAAACUACGAUUUGUUUCGAUUUGACUAUCUAAAUAAAUGUACCUCGCUCGCAUUUAUUUAUUCGGUAACAUUUCUCUUCCAAAAUUCAAAUUAUACGAUCAAGCUGCAUCAAUCAAUCAGACUCAAAUGUACCAACCUUAAUAUUUUAUGUGAAUGAAUGUGCACAUUAUUAUUAUUAUUAAAAGGGUUAAUUAUACUAGUAGUCCCCAAUCUUUUCAUCAAUUUUCACUUAGGUCCCCCAUCUUUUUUUUUUGCAAUUAAGUCCCUAAUCUCUUGAUUUUAUUACAAUUAGGUCCCAAUCGUUAAAAAAUCUGUUAAAAUUAACGGAAUCACCACGUCAGCGCCUAUUUGGCAUACUUUUGCAUGUUAAUUUAGGUUUCUAAACUUUGCACAUUUUUUGCUUUAAUCUCUAAAAAUAAAAAUUUUAAAUUUUAAAUUUAAAAUAAAAAAUAAUAUUAAAUUUUUUUUGCAAUCCGUUGACACAACGCUACCGUGGUGCUGACAUGGUGCCUCCGUGGCGCUGACAUGGUGCUGACGUGGGCUUUUUUCGUCAAUUUUAAUAUUUAUCUAACGGCUGAAACUUAAUUGAAAUGAAAUUAAAAGAUUAGGAACUCAAUUACAAAAAAAAAAGGUUAGGGACCCAAGUGAAAAUUGGUGAAAAAGUUAGGGACUACAGGUGUAAUUAACCCUUAUUAAAAUUAUAAAACUAAUAAUAACUGCAUGCAAUUUAUGUAUUACGGACGUCAUGGAACACGUCAUGGACUCGUGUCCAGCUGGAACACGUUGUGAACGUGUGUUUGAUGGCAAGUCUACAAUACAUUCAAUUAAGGGUUAUUCAAUUAAUUUAUAUUUUAGGAUAAGGGUCUAUAUACCUUCUUGUUUAUUUCUAAGUGAAAUAAAUGAAGCGGGUAUCAUGCUAUCUAUCUCUCUCUCAAAAUAUAUAUAUAUAUAUAUAUCUCAAAAAAUAGAGCACCAUUUUUUUUGAAUAUUAUUAAGUGUACCCUAAAUUAGAAAUCCUAGUAAAUUCUAGGCUAAAUUAUAGAAAAUCUCCAUGUAAUAACUCGCUUUCUCGCUUUCCCCCCCUGACAUUUAAAAACCUACACUUUGCCCCCCUGUAAAAUGAAAAAUGUUCACAGGAAGGAUUACGGUGUGUAAAAUAACCAUUUUGCCCCUCGCCAUUGUCGUCUUCUUUCCCAUCUUCCUCAGCCGUCCCUUCGUUCGACCGCGAUUCCCACCUCAAUCGGCCGCGAUUUCUCUCCAUUUUCUUCUCCAUCUGCUUUCCUUCUCCUCCUGCACCCUCGCCGCCCUCGAUUUCGGCGACAGUAGGAGAAAACUGAAGUGGGCGACAGUAGGAGGAGAGCAAAAAAGGCGAAGGCAAGGCGGCGAAGGACGGCGAAGGGGAUGUGGGUGAGGGCGAGGCAGUGGAGGACGGGUAGAGGUGGAAACUAGCCGAGCUCGAGCGAGCUUAUGUCAGCUCAAAUUCUGCUUGAAAUUAAUUUCGAGCCUAAAUCUAGGCUCAAGCUCGGCUUGAAAUUAAUUCGAGCCGAGCUCGAGCAAGCCUAAUUUCGAGUCGAGCCGAGCUCGAGCUCUAAACGAGCCGAUUGAAAUUCUCGACAUUAUAUAAUCAAUAGUUUAAUUUUUAUAUAAUAUCACCUAUAAUUUGAUGCAACAUGUUCAAUAGUUCAAAAUACAAAAUAAUUGUAAGAAAUGUGAGUUAGGGUGACUACAGAGAGAGAGAGAGAGAGAGGGGGGAAAAAUUAGGGAUUUGAAAAUUUGAAUGUUAUCAUGUUUUAGGGUUAUGUGCAACAGUGAAAGUCUGAAAGAGAGAGUAUGUUAUGUAAUUUAGAGUUGGUUUCAAUUGCACGGUUGUACUUGUUGGGUUUAUUUUAUGGGCCAACAAUAAUGGCCCAAAUUAAAUUAAAACCUAUAUAUAAUUAAAAUACAUUUUAUAUAUAUAUAUAUAUAUAUAUAUAUUCGAGCUUUCGAGCUUUUCGAGCCUAAUUCGAACGAGCCGAGUAAUACUCAAGCUCGGCUUGAAAUGAAUUUCGAGCCUUUUAUUUUGUUCAAGCUCGGCUCAUUUAAUUUCGAGUCGAGCUCGAGCGAGCCGAAUAUCGAGCCGAACACGAGUCGAACGCGAGCCGGCUCGCUCGUUUGCCAGCCCUAAGGACGGGGAGGCGGCGAGGCGGCGGCGAGGUGGCGAGCCGGAGGGAGGCGAAGCAAUAGGGAGAUAGCGGAGGGGUAUUUUCAGCAUAAAAAUAUAUUUUUUAACGGAACCCUAACGGUAGGGGGUGAAGUGUACAUUUUUUAUUUUACAGGGAGGCAAAGUGUAGAUUUUUAAAUGUCAGGGAGGAAAAGUGAAAAAACGGAUUAUUACAAGGGGGUUUUCUGUAAUUUAGCCUAAAUUCUAUAAUUAAUUCUAUGUUGAAUCAUAUUUGGGGUAAUAACUUGGUGAGUUUUGUUGCCUACAUACAAUUUUAACUUUAUUAAAGCAUGUAACUCCUUUUGUUACUAGGAGUAUUUAAAUAUUUUGUUAAAAAAAAAAUUAAUAGUAAUAAGUUUUCAUCCUUAACAAGUUAUAGGAGCAUAAAACACCCUAUCAAACAAGUAUAAUGAAAUUGUGAUUUUAUGCAACUAUGAUUAGUUCUGUUAUAGUUUUUUUUCUUAUAUCUUAUUUGGGCCCCGAGUUGGUGCAGGUAAUGAUUGUCUAGUCUUUGAAAUUUUAUUUUCUUUCUUUAAUAAAAAAAAAUCAAUUAAUAUCAAUUUUAAAGACGAUAGUGUCCGCUAUAAUGCACCUAAAUAAAUA
rnacentral:lncRNA from 1 species